AUACAAUGGUGUGGACAUCUUCUCAACAACUCUUUAUAUCUUUCCUAGGCUUCAUAUAGUGAUUCUCCUUCUUGCUACAUAAAGGAUGUAAUUUUUCCUCUCAAUUU